GGGCAACAACACCGGCAGAUGUCAAAAUCGAUAACUACAGGUGUCAGAAUGCAUUUGGGAGCAAAUUGCUUAUUGUCAUUACCCCUUUUCAUCUCCAUUGGAGUCGAUACCCCGCGGUAUCACUGCUUAGUGGGCGGCUGAACAUAACUGUGACACUUUCCAGACCACCUGGCAGGUCACAUGGUCCAGGUCACCGGCAGGUGCACAGGCAGAGUUGACCAACUGUCACAUUUUCAGAAAGCGCAAUGGUGAUUCAGUGCGAUUGGCUGAGGACAUUUUACUGCAUAACUUCGAAACAAAGCAACCAAUUACAACGCCAAUAUAAUCCUGCACAUCUAUGGACCAAGAGCUUUCAUUUGGUAUAUGAUGUGCCCUGCUCAGGCAACGGCUUCAUAUAAGUGAUCUAGUCCUGCUGGUUACAGUACUAUAAGUUGGCCUAGCUGCUUGUGAAGACAUGACUGAGCUAUGACACAGAACAGAGACGGGAAAAGGAUAGACACAGCAGGACAGAGCAGGGCACCACUGUGCAGUACCAGGCUCUGGUUUGAUGCAGGGAUGGAUGCAACAUCACUUUGUCUCCUAGCAAAAUCUGUGAGAGGACCAAACGAUGCUGCUCCAGCCUCCAGGUGCAGAGCAAGUAUUAAUCUUUUGAGACCCCUUCUCUUCUGAGAGCUGAACAUGGACAUCAGGAAACUGACCUGAUAUUACCAAGCCCAUCUCCUUUCAGGUCCUAUGGCAGCUGUACCCCUGCCGGGCAGUUCGUUUUGCCACUGUUUUGCUGUACAGUAAUAAAGCUGUGAUUCUAUAUCUAUUUGAACAACAA